GGUCGAGUACGCAAAUUGGAAAAGCGGCUUGGUUGAGCGCCAGGGAUUUUGCAGGUUCGAGUCCUGUCUCGACUA
rnacentral:tRNA from 1 species